rnacentral:rRNA from 2 species
UCCUGGAUUCAGCGGCGGACGGGUGAGUAAUGCCUAGGAAUCUGCCUGGUAGUGGGGGACAACGUUUCGAAAGGAACGCUAAUACCGCAUACGUCCUACGGGAGAAAGCAGGGGACCUUCGGGCCUUGCGCUAUCAGAUGAGCCUAGGUCGGAUUAGCUAGUUGGUGAGGUAAUGGCUCACCAAGGCGACGAUCCGUAACUGGUCUGAGAGGAUGAUCAGUCACACUGGAACUGAGACACGGUCCAGACUCCUACGGGAGGCAGCAGUGGGGAAUAUUGGACAAUGGGCGAAAGCCUGAUCCAGCCAUGCCGCGUGUGUGAAGAAGGUCUUCGGAUUGUAAAGCACUUUAAGUUGGGAGGAAGGGUUGUAGAUUAAUACUCUGCAAUUUUGACGUUACCGACAGAAUAAGCACCGGCUAACUCUGUGCCAGCAGCCGCGGUAAUACAGAGGGUGCAAGCGUUAAUCGGAAUUACUGGGCGUAAAGCGCGCGUAGGUGGUUUGUUAAGUUGGAUGUGAAAUCCCCGGGCUCAACCUGGGAACUGCAUCCAAAACUGGCAAGCUAGAGUAUGGUAGAGGGUGGUGGAAUUUCCUGUGUAGCGGUGAAAUGCGUAGAUAUAGGAAGGAACACCAGUGGCGAAGGCGACCACCUGGACUGAUACUGACACUGAGGUGCGAAAGCGUGGGGAGCAAACAGGAUUA